rnacentral:rRNA from 1 species
CAAAAACAUGUCCUUUUGAAUUUUAUGGAAGGUUGAGCCUGCCCAGUGAAAAUUAUUUAACGGCCGCGGUAUUUUGACCGUGCAAAGGUAGCAUAAUCAUUAGUCUUUUAAAAGGGGGCUGGAAUGAAAGGUUUGACGAAGUAUUAACUGUCUCAUUAUAUUUGGUUGUGGAAUUUAACUUUUUAGUUAAAAGGCUAAAAUUUAAUUGGAAGACGAGAAGACCCUAUAGAGCUUUAUAUAUAAAUUUGGAAUUAUUAUUUAUAUUAAUUAAAAUUAUAAAUUUAUAUAUUUUGUUGGGGUGACAAGAAUAUAUAAGAAACUUUUUUAUUUUUAAUACAUUAAUUUAUGAAAAUUUGAUCCAUUAUUAUUGAUUAUUAGAUUAAGUUACCUUAGGGAUAACAGCGUAAUCCUCCUCCAGAGUUCAUAUUUACAGGUAGGGCUUGCGACCUCGAUGUUGGAUUAAGAUAAUAUUUAGGUGCAGUCACUUAAAUUAUAGGUCUGUUCGACCUUUAAAUUCUUACAUGAUCUGAG